rnacentral:rRNA from 1 species
GGAAAGAUGAAAAGAACUUUGAAAAGAGAGUUGAACAGUACGUGAAAUUGUUGAAAGGGAAACGAUUGAAGUCAGUCAUACCAACGGGAAAUCAACCUUUUGAGUUUGUUCUUGUGGGUUUCGAGGAGUUUAAAAGCCUUCUGAUUUGUGAGGAUUGGGCUCUUUUGGUGUACUUUCUCGUACGGUUAGUCAACAUCGGUUUUGAAUGUCAUAAAAUGACUGGAGGAAUGUGGCUUCGAUCUCGUAUCGAAGUGUUAUAACCUUCGGUAGAUGUGAUGUUCGAGACCGAGGAUUGCAACGGAUACCUUCCAGGCUAUUCGUCUGAUCUCUGAUACGUUGCCUUGAUGUCGAAAGCGUGCUUAUGAUGUUAGGGUAUUACGGUCAAAAGGUUAGAACGGAUUAAAUUCGUUAAGGAUGUUGACGUAAUGACUUUAAACGACCCGUCUUGAAACACGGACCA